rnacentral:ncRNA from 1 species
GCAGAGUAGAGAUCUGCGGGUUACGUGUCCGGAGGACGGGGAGUUGUCUUCGGAACGAAAAAAGCCUGCUUUUGCCGUGCAGAUUCUCGCAUCCCGCUGC